GACGCUGAUGCACGAAAGCGUGGGGAUCAAACAGGAUUAGAUACCCUGGUAGUCCACGCCGUAAACGAUGAUAACUCGCUAUAGGCGAUACACAGUCAGUGGCUUAGCGAAAGCGUUAAGUUAUCCACCUGGGGAGUACGACCGCAAGGUUGAAACUCAAAGGAAUUGACGGGGGCCCGCACAAGCGGAGGAACAUGUGGUUUAAUUCGAUGAUACGCGAGGAACCUUACCUAGACUUGAACGUAUUUGGACAGAUCCAGAGAUGGAUUCUUCUUUCGGGACCAUUUACGAGGUGCUGCAUGGUUGUCGUCAGCUCGUGCCGUGAGGUGUCGGGUUAAGUCCCAUAACGAGCGCAACCCUUGCCAAUAGUUGCCAGCGAGUAAUGUCGGGGACUCUAUUGGGACUGCCGGUGUAAACCGUGAGGAAGGUGGGGAUGACGUCAAAUCAGCACGGCCCUUACGUCUAGGGCGACACACGUGUUACAAUGGCCAGUACAGAGGGUCGCUACUAAGUGAUUAGAUGCUAAUCUCAAAAACUGGUCUC
rnacentral:rRNA from 1 species